rnacentral:lncRNA from 1 species
UGCUGAGUUUAUUGUACAAAAUCUACAUCAUGUUUCCUUCUGCUGCAGGGUCACGAGGCAACCACAACCUGAGAAGCACAGAGACAGCUUGGAGGUUAAAAGAAAAUGUCGGGAUAAGAUGCUACAGCGAGCUAAUCUCCAGCAAAAGCAGGGCACUUGUAUUCCAGGAUGCAGUGCCUCUCGUCAUCUGCUGUUCUGAUUAGAGCCGUAAUUAAAAGCUGUGCUAAUUGGUGUUGAGGCUAACACUGGCCACCCAAUUCAUUAAGGAGCUCCACACACUUCUGCAUUCCACUGAAUGAUGAAAGAACCAACAUUAUUAAUCUGCUGUACCCGGGGGACAAGUCAACUGUGAAGGAGAGUGACUAAGAGAGAAAUGGAGUCAAACAAAGAGGAGAGAAAAAAGAGAGAGACCUCUUUCUUUAUAUAUCAAGUUGAUCCUUACUUGGUCAAUAUUUAAAUAGGAAGGUGAUAGAUUGGAGCAAACUGCGGCAAGGUGAGAAGUUCAGUCUCUUAAGGUUUGAAAAGUCCAAGGAAGAGAACAAAAGAUCACAUCUGUGAUAAAAUACAAGAGAAAAGUAGUUUUUUUUUUCAAGAACUUCAAUUGUUUUGCAUCAACCUAAGAAAAUAUUUCUCCUUAUUCUGUCUGAUUAAAAAUAAUUGAGAAAAAUUCAAAAUAGAUUAUAGAGCUAACUUGUUACAGUCUUUGAAACUAUAGGUGUAACAGAUCGUUGGUUCAAAAAUUAACACUUCAGGGAGUUUAGCCACAGGAGAUGUAGCAAAAAGUCAAUCUAUUCAUUGAUAAAGAGACAAAACAGCAUCCAAUGUCUAUAUUAACUGUGAUUUCUUUAAUUGCACUCAAGCAGCUUCAUUAUCACCCAUUUCCCAAAUUGCUGAGUAGUAUCUAAGAAACAAUUAGUCUUUACAGUUUCACUGAGCCAAAAAGUGCCUGGCCGAUAUCUGCCUUCCCCUGUGGUUCUCUUCCUCACCUUCGCCACUCUGCUUUGUGCGUGUGUGUGCAUUAUAGGUCAGGCAGGCUCUACGUCUAAACUUCCAGUAACAAGCUGAAGAAAACCAUUUAUGUCAAAGAAUCCUUUUUUUGUCCAACAAGUUCAGCAAACGUCCCAGCUGAAUGCUGUGAUACCUGGAAGGCUUUAUCUUAGACUUCUUGGUGUCAGCUCUCACUAACAGGAGGAAUUAAUAUGUUUUCCACAUUGGUUUCCAACCCUCAAAAACUCUUGUGCUUUUUCAUACCUGUCCUUUAACUUAGAAGAAAAGCAGCCACCUGUGACAGAAAUGUUGCUGUUGUAGUGAUUGGUUAACCAUGAGCAUGAAAGGAGAAACUGUGUGAUAAAUGCCUCAUCUUUUGUCUGUAAAUAUUCCAGACUGUGUCCCUUUUUUAGAUUACGGAGCUCAGCAGCUAAGAUGUUGACGCAAUAAAUCCCUCGCAAUAAAAUGUCUGUUUUUGCGCCCUCUCUGGCCAUGUUUUG